AAAUUUCUAUUUUACAAUGGAUUCUUCAUGAGAGAGUUUACAACUUAUGCUGAACAAAGCAACCUCCAAAUGAAUGAGAAGCCAUAGUAUUAAUUGAGAUAACAUGCCUAGGGCCUAGCAGUGUCUGGCAGUGAAUAAUCACUCAAUAAAGGUUGGUCAUUCUUACCCACCCAUCCUUCAGAAGCCAGCUUUCCCUUAGUAUCAGUCAAUUAUUGAGUGUCUACUUCGUGCAAGGGAUCAGGAAGACACAAAAAAAUGGAAGACAAUCUCUGAUAUCUAAUUAAGAUCUCUUUGUAUCUCAAGUUCUCAAGGAAUCGAGGACUAUGAGAACACAUGGUUCUGUAUUUUACAUAUUCUUUAGUCUAAAUGACCAUAUACAAACAACCAUUCAUUCAUUCAUUCAUUCAUGCAUUCAGGAGUUUACUAAGCACCAAAUUUGUGUAGGGCUCUGUGCCAAGUGCUGUGGCUAUAAGGCUGCAGAAGGCUCAGUCCCUGCCCUGACAGAGCUCAGAGUCCAGUGGGAAGGACAGGCUAGUAAACAGGACCGAUCUAGUACAUUAAGUCAUUGCUAGGCUCUGUGACAAGGAUGAACACAAGAGUCUCCACCGGACCUCCUCCUCUCCAGGUGAGAGUCCUGAAGGUUGAGUAGGAAGAACUUACUAGGUCAGAGAGUCUGGGCAGAGGGGGUACGGAAGGAUGGACCUCACUACUGGGGUUUAAGGAGUGGUGGGCAGAAAAUGGAGACGUGAACUUCCUUGAGGAGCUUGGCUCUAACCGGAAAGAGAAAAAAUAUGAUAACUUAACCCUGUAGAAGUUGUGGCUGAUCUGAGAGAUACCAACACACUCUUAAGAGAUGGGGACCAUGUCAGCAUAAUUGAAGAGCAGGAAAGGAGUGGCAGGUCACAAUUCAGUCUGAAUAACAUUGUGGAUUGAAUUGUGUGCCCCCAGCCUCCAAAGAUGUGCUAGAGGCCUAACCACUGGAAUGUGUGGAUGCAGCCUUAUUUGGGAAUAGGCUCUUUGCAGGUGUAAUCAAGUUAAGGUGACAUCACGCUGGAGUAGGAUGGACCCUGUAACCAAUACGAAUGAUGUUCUUAUAAGAACAGGGAAGUUUGCACAGAGACAGAGAUGCACAGAGAGAAUGCCGUGUGAUGGCUGGGAUGGAGGCUGACUCUAAGUUUCCCAAACUGAGUUAUCGGAACCUGAAAAAGGCUGUAUAAAGAAAAUACAGUACUAAGGACCUACUGCUGGGUGCUUUCAUGUGCCUGGACUCAUGCUAACUCCUUUCCCUUAUUGCAUUUAAGCCUUACAACUCUAAGAGGAGGACCUUACUAGCCUCUUUUAGAAAUAGAAAAUUGAAGCUCAAAGGGGCCGAGAUUAGAGUUGUGCUGCCCCACACCCAGGAGCACCAACCAUUGCUGGCAACCGCCAGAAUCUAGGAAAGAGGCCUGGGGCAGAUUCUCCCUGUGAGCCCCCAAGGGAAAUUAACUUGCUGACAGCUUGCUUUCAGACUCCUGGCCUCCUUCACUCCAGGAGAAUAGUUUCUGUUGUGUUAAGCUACCCAGUUCGUGGUACUUGGUGCAGCUCUAGGACGUAAUUCAGAUGGGUUGAGUGUAACAUCUUUGAUGACCAGGAUAGCACUGACCGUGAUGCCCUGUUAGACAUUAUCUGCUUUGAUUUAAUAAACAUUGAAAUCAUCCUUAGAAGGAUGAUUAUUAGGAUAAUUUAAGUGCCUUUUCAUGUUUUUUUUUUCAACUUUUAGUACUACUCAAGUUUUUCCCCAAUAUUCUUUCUUCACUUUUCUUUGGAUUUUUUUUCUUCAUAAUUUUCUGUCUUUAGCUACUUUAUUAUCCCCAAUAUCCUCUCCAGUGUCCUCUAUUUGAAAUUUAUUUCUACUGUUCAAAGUGUGUUUUUUAAUAUACAAAAAUCAUAUUAUAUGACAUUAUAUUUUUCUCUGAAAAGGACCUCAGCAACAUUUUAUUUAAGAGGAAGUUACUUAAAAGGAACUUACUAUUUUCACAAGACCAGGGGCGUGAGAGCGACAAAGAAAAAGCAGUGAAGAAGUCUGUUGCCUUUUAAAAAAUAUGCUCCUAUUUCUAUAGGAGACUUCUCAGCCUGCCGUUUAAUAUCAGUAUCCCUGAGUCCCUAAGACUGAAUUCUCAUUUCUGUUUUUUCCCUUCCAAUAACUCCUUUAAAGUUGGAGCUACAUUAGCUGGAAGGAGAUGUUUUAAUGUUCUCUAGUACAGAAACCAUGGUUUACAUUCCUUGCUCAGAGCCUGGAGAGGGAAGCCACACAUCUAGUAAUCAGAGUAGGUAAGUGCCUUCCGGAAGCUACUGGGAGCACAAUUACCCUCAGGUGUCUUGGCCAGGCAUUAGUCAAUUUGGAGAGCGUUUCUGGGUCCAGAAUUCCCCUGUUCCCUGAGGCCGGCUUGCUGGAGCUUUCUGUGUACAUACUGUCUCCUUCGGUCAGAGUCGAUUUUUACUUGGAAGAGUGGACUGAGCUUCAAGAGGAAAAUCAAUGACUUGUUUUUAUCCCCUAACACCUCGGAGCAUAAUUUGCAGGGUGUACAUAUGGCCAUCCACCUGGUUUUCCUCUUGUCUCUGAGGAUCUGCAAGAAGCCAAUAAAUCCCUGGCCCAGAACUGGGUUGUAUGCUAGGCCCGCUGUGGCCGACAGCUUCCAUUCCAACAUCAGUUCCUGAAGCCAUUGCUGUGAUCGCUGGCCCUGGUUUACAGCUCUCACCCGUCCUGCUGAGAAUAACAUGAGAAAUUUCUUUAAAGCCACACUGUCUUCUCUUCCCCGGGG